AUUGAACGCUGGCGGCAUGCCUUACACAUGCAAGUCGAACGGCAUCGCGGGAAAGCUUGCUUUCCUGGCGGCGAGUGGCGAACGGGUGAGUAACACAUCGGAACGUACCGGCUAGUGGGGGAUAACCCGUCGAAAGACGGGCUAAUACCGCAUACGCUCUUCGGAGGAAAGCAGGGGACCUUUGGGCCUUGCGCUAGCCGAGCGGCCGAUGUCCGAUUAGCUAGUUGGUGGGGUAAAGGCCUACCAAGGCGACGAUCGGUAGCGGGUCUGAGAGGACGAUCCGCCACACUGGGACUGAGACACGGCCCAGACUCCUGCGGGAGGCAGCAGUGGGGAAUCUUGGACAAUGGGGGCAACCCUGAUCCAGCAAUGCCGCGUGGGUGAAGAAGGCCUUCGGGUUGUAAAGCCCUUUCGGCAGGGAAGAAAUCGGCGGGGCGAAUAACCCUGCUGGAUGACGGUACCUGCAGAAGAAGCACCGGCUAACUACGUG
rnacentral:rRNA from 1 species